rnacentral:misc_RNA from 1 species
AACGCACAUUGCGCCCGCCAGUAUUCUGGCGGGCAUGCCUGUCCGAGCGUCAUUUCAACCCUCGAACCCCUCCGGGGGGUCGGCGUUGGGGACCUCGGGAGCCCCUAAGACGGGAUCCCGGCCCCGAAAUACAGUGGCGGUCUCGCCGCAGCCUCUCCUGCGCAGUAGUUUGCACAACUCGCACCGGGAGCGCGGCGCGUCCACGUCCGUAAAACACCCAACUUUCUGAAAUGUUGACCUCGGAUCAGGUAGGAAUACCCGCUGAACUUAA